rnacentral:rRNA from 1 species
UACAGAGGGUGCGAGCGUUGUUCGGAAUUAUUGGGCGUAAAGGGCGCGUAGGCGGUGCGGUAAGUCACCUGUGAAAUCUCCUGGCUCAACUGGGAGUCUGCAGGCGAAACUGCCGUGCUGGAGUGUGGGAGAGGUGAGUGGAAUUCCCGGUGUAGCGGUGAAAUGCGUAGAUAUCGAGAGGAACACCUGCGGCGAAGGCGGGUUGCUGGGCUGACACUGACGCUGAUGCGCGAAAGCCAGGGGAGCGAACGGG